GACGAACGCUGGCGGCGUGCUUAACACAUGCAAGUCGAACGGAAAGGCCUCCACCUUUUGGUGGGGGUGCUCGAGUGGCGAACGGGUGAGUAACACGUGGGUGAUCUGCCCUGUACUUCGGGAUAAGCUUGGGAAACUGGGUCUAAUACCGGAUAGGACCAUGGUUUAGUGUCUCAUGGUGGAAAGAUGUUUUUUGGUGCAGGAUGAGCUCGCGGCCUAUCAGCUUGUUGGUGGGGUAAUGGCCUACCAAGGCGUCGACGGGUAGCCGGCCUGAGAGGGUGGACGGCCACAUUGGGACUGAGAUACGGCCCAGACUCCUACGGGAGGCAGCAGUGGGGAAUAUUGCACAAUGGGCGCAAGCCUGAUGCAGCGACGCCGCGUGGGGGAUGACGGCCUUCGGGUUGUAAACUCCUUUCGUUAGGGACGAAGCCAUACUUUUU
rnacentral:rRNA from 1 species